ACGAACGCUGGCGGCGUGCUUAACACAUGCAAGUCGAACGGAAAGGCCCUGCUUUUGUGGGGUGCUCGAGUGGCUAACGGGUGAGUAACACGUGAGUAACCUGCCCUUGACUUUGGGAUAACUUCAGGAAACUGGGGCUAAUACCGGAUAGGAGCUCCUGCUGCAUGGUGGGGGUUGGAAAGUUUCGGCGGUUGGGGAUGGACUCGCGGCUUAUCAGCUUGUUGGUGGGGUAGUGGCUUACCAAGGCUUUGACGGGUAGCCGGCCUGAGAGGGUGACCGGCCACAUUGGGACUGAGAUACGGCCCAGACUCCUACGGGAGGCAGCAGUGGGGAAUAUUGCACAAUGGGCGGAAGCCUGAUGCAGCAACGCCGCGUGCGGGAUGACGGCCUUCGGGUUGUAAACCGCUUUCGCCUGUGACGAAGCGUGAGUGACGGUAAUGGGUAAAGAAGCACCGGCUAACUACGUG
rnacentral:rRNA from 1 species